AGGGAGAGGCCUCCUCUCGGGGCGCACGCGUCCCGAGGCGAGAGGGCCGGAGGCCGGGUCAGCCGUCGA
rnacentral:rRNA from 1 species